rnacentral:rRNA from 1 species
GACGAACGCUGGCGGCGUGCUUAACACAUGCAAGUCGAACGGAAAGGCCCUGCUUUUGUGGGGUGCUCGAGUGGCGAACGGGUGAGUAACACGUGAGUAACCUGCCCUUGACUUGGGGUAACUUCAGGAAACUGGGGCUAAUACCGGGUAGGAGCUCCUGCUGGAUGGGGGGGGGUGGAAAGUUUCGGCGGUUGGGGAUGGACUCGCGGCUUAUCAGCUUGUUGGUGGGGUAGUGGCUUACCAAGGCUUUGACGGGUAGCCGGCCUGAGAGGGUGACCGGCCACAUUGGGACUGAGAUACGGCCCAGACUCCUACGGGAGGCAGCAGUGGGGAAUAUUGCACAAUGGGCGGAAGCCUGAUGCAGCAACGCCGCGUGCGGGAUGACGGCCUUCGGGUUGUAAACCGCUUUCGCCUGUGACGAAGCGUGAGUGACGGUAAUGGGUAAAGAAGCACCGGCUAACUACGUG